GGUUGCUCGCGCUCUGGGCCCUGGCGGCUGUGGCUGUACCCGGCUCCGGGGCGGAGGGCGACGGCGGGUGGUGAGCGGCCCGGGAGGGGCCGGGCGGUGGGUCACGUGCGGCGGGCGGGGCGCGGGCUGACCCAGCUGUGCCCGCAGGCGCCCGGGCGGGCCGGGGGCCGUGGCGGAGGAGGAGCGCUGCACGGUGGAGCGUCGGGCCGACCUCACCUACGCGGAGUUCGUGCAGCAGUACGUGCGCCCCUGAUCGCGGAGGUCGCGUCCUGUUCACCGGCCCGUCUGCCCCGACCGCCCAAGGCCGCCUUCCCCUGACCUCGCGCGCACGCGUGGGGCUGGGGCGGCGAGGGUGGCGGUCCGGCCUGGCCGCGACUCUGCCCUUCUUUCCAGGUACGCCUUCGUCAGGCCCGUCAUCCUGCAGGGACUCACGGACAACUCGGUGAGCGCGUGCCCGUCCGUCCCCGGCCACUCUCGCCCGUGCUGGGCCCGGCCACUAAGUCCCCUCCCCGCCCCCGCAGAGGUUCCGGGCCCUGUGCUCCCGCGAAAGGUUGCUGGCUUCGUUUGGGGACAGAGUGGUCCGGCUGAGCACCGCCAACACCUACUCCUACCACAAAGUGGACUUGCCCUUCCAGGAGUAUGUGGAGCAGCUGCUGCACCCCCAGGACCCCACCUCCCUGGGCAAUGGUGAGUCAGCCCUAGGCGGCGGUAGGGGGUGGGGACGCUUGGAGUCUCCAGGUGCCAGGAUCCCUGUCCCCACCGUCUCUGUUGGCAGACACCCUGUACUUCUUCGGGGACAACAACUUCACCGAGUGGGCCUCUCUCUUUCGGCACUACUCCCCACCCCCAUUUGGCCUGCUGG
rnacentral:sRNA from 1 species